rnacentral:lncRNA from 1 species
GUGAAGACUGAGUAGAAGAAAACAAUUUCAAAAUCACUGAUCAAGACCUUGUUCUCAUUUUGUCUUUUUUUGAAAUGGAGUCUUGUUCUGUUGCCAGGCUGGAGUGCAGUGGUGUAACCUCGGCUCACUGCAAUCUCCACCUCCUGGGUUCAAGUGAUUCUCCUGCCUCAGCCUCCUGAGUAGCUGGGACUACAGAUCCCUAAAGCUAAUUCAGUCUUCCAUAUCCCCUGAAGAAUCAUGACUCAGCCAGUGCAUGAUGGCACUCAUCACCUACAGCUGCUGUUCUUGAGGAAAAAGGGUCCCACUUUGACCAAGUUGGUCCAGGGGUGUCUGCCAGCCCUCCAGCUCGCCAGUGGUCUGAU